rfam:Nonomuraea sp. ATCC 55076, complete genome.
GCGGUUCCGGUUCACGCCAUGCGUGAAGGCGACCCGGCGGCC